rnacentral:rRNA from 1 species
GACGAACGCUGGCGGCGUGCUUAACACAUGCAAGUCGAACGAAGUGGCGAACGGGUGAGUAACGCGUAAUCAACCUGCCCUUCAGAGGGGGACAACAGUUGGAAACGACUGCUAAUACCGCAUACUGAAGGCGGGGAUUGCGUCUUGUUAGCUGGUUGGAGGGGUAACGGCCCACCAAGGCGAUGAUCAGUAGGCGGGCUGAGAGGAUGAACGGCAACAUUGGGACUGAGACACGGCCCAGACUCCUACGGGAGGCAGCAGUGGGGAAGCUUCCGCAAUGGACGAAAGUCUGACGGAGCAACGCCGCGUGAGUGAUGACGGGCUUCGGGUUGUAAAGCGCUGUUAAUCGGGACGCGGUACCGGAAUAGAAAGCCACGGCUAACUACGUGCCAGCAGCCGCGGUAAUUC